GGCCGCGUGGCAAAAUGGUUACUGCGUUGCUUUCCGGUUAAGCCGUUGGCUAGUUCGUUAGGCAGAGAUUGUGCGUUCGAUCCGCACCGUGGUCG